AGGUGCGAAAGCAGGUCAUAGUGAUCCGGUGGUUCUGAAUGGAAGGGCCAUCGCUCAACGGAUAAAAGGUACUCCGGGGAUAACAGGCUGAUACCGCCCAAGAGUUCAUAUCGACGGCGGUGUUUGGCACCUCGAUGUCGGCUCAUCACAUCCUGGGGCUGAAGUAGGUCCCAAGGGUAUGGCUGUUCGCCAUUUAAAGUGGUACGCGAGCUGGGUUUAGAACGUCGUGAGACAGUUCGGUCCCUAUCUGCCGUGGGCGCUGGAGAACUGAGGGGGGCUGCUCCUAGUACGAGAGGACCGGAGUGGACGCAUCACUGGUGUUCGGGUUGUCAUGCCAAUGGCACUGCCCGGUAGCUAAAUGCGGAAGAGAUAAGUGCUGAAAGCAUCUAAGCACGAAACUUGC
rnacentral:rRNA from 1 species